rnacentral:rRNA from 1 species
UACAGAGGGUGCGAGCGUUGUUCGGAAUUACUGGGCGUAAAGGGCUCGUAGGUGGCCAACUAAGUCAGACGUGAAAUCCCCAGGCUCAACCUGGGAACUGCGUCUGAUACUGGAUGGCUUGAAUCCGGGAGAGGGAUGCAGAAUUCCAGGUGUAGCGGUGAAAUGCGUAGAUAUCUGGAGGAAUACCGGUGGCGAAGGCGGCAUCCUGGACCGGCAUUGACGCUGAGGAGCGAAAGCCAGGGGAGCAAACGGG